ACGCACGCUGGCGGCGUGCCUAAUACAUGCAAGUAGCACGCUGAAGGAGGAGCUUGCUUCUCUGGAUGAGUUGCGAACGGGUGAGUAACGCGUAGGUAACCUGCCUGGUAGCGGGGGAUAACUAUUGGAAACGAUAGCUAAUACCGCAUAAGAGUAGAUGUCGCAUGACAUUUGCUUAAAAGGUGCAAUUGCAUCACUACCAGAUGGACCUGCGUUGUAUUAGCUAGUUGGUGAGGUAACGGCUCACCAAGGCAACGAUACAUAGCCGACCUGAGAGGGUGAUCGGCCACACUGGGACUGAGACACGGCCCAGACUCCUACGGGAGGCAGCAGUAGGGAAUCUUCGGCAAUGGACGGAAGUCUGACCGAGCAACGCCGCGUGAGUGAAGAAGGUUUUCGGAUCGUAAAGCUCUGUUGUAAGAGAAGAACGAGUGUGAGAGUGGAAAGUUCACACUGUGACGGUAUCUUACCAGAAAGGGACGGCUAACUACGUG
rnacentral:rRNA from 1 species